GUUGCUUUGAAGAAAAGGGAGAUUAUAUCAUCACUAGAUAGCUGAUGAAUUUUCCAGCUAAAGUAAUUAAAAAUUUCAGACAAAUAGGGGCAGAGAAGACCCAACAAUGUUUGGUUGUAAUGUCCCUCCUUUUAGGACAGCUCUCAAAAUAGGGGCCUUGGUGUGUUCAUGGCCACAGAAGCCACUAAGGACGUGGAAGCUGCGCAUGAACUACACAGGCUUUAUUCAGUGAUUGGAAAAUGGAGAAACAGGAGCCUGGCUCUCAGUCACCUUCUCAGCCUCCUGGGCACGCGUAGACAUCAGACAACAGAAAUGAAAGGGAGUAUGAUACAGGGAGCUGAGGAGGUAUUCGUAGUUACCCAGCAUCAGGGAGUCACCACCGUUUUGUCCUUUCAUUGUCUCUUCUGCUGGUUGCCAUGGUGAUUGUCAGCUGUCCUGAUCCCAUAGUUGAUGCUGAAGAAUGGAAUGUGAGCCAGCACAGUGGUGAAAACCAUGCCCUAGAGAAUAUGAAGGCAGCUUUGCAUGGACUCCGUUUCAGAUGACAUAUCCACAAUGACCGGGUUGAAGCCAGGAGCCAAGCAGCCAAUCCAGAAGUUCCUGUGAGUGCCAGGAUCCAAACACUUGAGCCAACAUUUACUGCUUCAUGUGGGUUGCAAGGCUCAGAUCAGCAGUAAAACAGAGAACUAAACUCAGGUGCUGCAUGGAUGGGGAGCAUGUCCUAACCAGCGUCGUAAGCACCAGGUUACCAACU